AUGCACGCUGGCGGCGUGCCUAAUACAUGCAAGUCGCGCGAACGGACGAGAAGCUUGCUUCUCUGAUGUUAGCGGCGGACGGGUGAGUAACACGUGGAUAACCUACCUAUAAGACUGGGAUAACUUCGGGAAACCGGAGCUAAUACCGGAUAAUAUUUUGAACCGCAUGGUUCAAAAGUGAAAGACGGUCCUGCUGUCACUUAUAGAUGGAUCCGCGCUGCAUUAGCUAGUUGGUAAGGUAACGGCUUACCAAGGCAACGAUGCAUAGCCGACCUGAGAGGGUGAUCGGCCACACUGGAACUGAGACACGGUCCAGACUCCUACGGGAGGCAGCAGUAGGGAAUCUUCCGCAAUGGGCGAAAGCCUGACGGAGCAACGCCGCGUGAGUGAUGAAGGUCUUCGGAUCGUAAAACUCUGUUAUUAGGGAAGAACAUAUGUGUAAGUAACUGUGCACAUCUUGACGGUACCUAAUCAGAAAGCCACGGCUAACUACGUG
rnacentral:rRNA from 1 species